ncrna:Synechococcus sp. CC9605 Glutamine-II riboswitch (downstream peptide RNA)
GAUCGUUCACUUCGCAUCACGCGAAGCGCAGUUCGCCUCAGGCCAUGGAACGGGGACCUGAG